rnacentral:tRNA from 1 species
GAGGUUGUAGCUAAGUGGUAGAGCACUUGCUUUGCAUGUGUGAAGCUCUGGGUUUGAUCCCCAGCACCACA